UUGUUUUGAGUGCAAUUCCAGACUUCACUGCUAGCAGCUGCGCCGUAAAUGUGCACGGUGACAUUGUGGCGUUCAGGUCAUGUGUUUACGUUCUGAUGGUGUCAUUUGCUUACGUCGUUUGGUUACGCCACUUGUUGUCUUUCUUUGCUCGUUUUUGUUUCGUUUGCAUGAUGUGUACGUCGCUCAUAUGUUUACGUGACUCAUUGACGUCGUGGCUGCAUGCAUUCCGUACAUCCCGAAUGAUGCUAGUGUAUUAGCAUGUUCAUGUUAGCCAUUAUCAAAGAGCAAGUUGCUAGUUUGCUGCCAUUUUCUGGGAGCUGUGUCCUUGUUUCUUCCAUUCUUCCGUCUCAGUGACCUUGACCUCUGUGAAACCCAGCAGGAUUUGGGAGGAGCCCUGAGGGGGAUUUCCCCGCCCCCAAAUCCCAAAUCCUGUUCUGACUUUGAUGUGCUGAGCAGCCAAUCGACAUUCAGAUGCGUCCAUGCCCGCCGGCCGCUGAAGCUUUGGGGGCGAAGAAGCGUGUCGGGAGUUCUGAUAAGUUCCCGGUGGGCCGCCGCAGUCUCCUCUUUUGCGCCGCCACUGCACCGACGCCUCUCUAAGAGAAAGGCCACAAUCCCUGUUCAUCGGAAUGGCCGGAAUGGGAC